GAGGGUAGAGCUCAGUGGUAGAGUGUGUGCCCAGCACGCACAAGGUCCUGGGUUCAAUCUCCAGUACCUCCA
rnacentral:tRNA from 1 species